GUUCUGAUUAUGGCUCAGAUUGAACGCUGGCGGGAUGCCUUUACACAUGCAAGUCGAACGGCAGCACGGACUUCGGUCUGGUGGCGGUGGCGAACGGGUGAGUAAUGUAUCGGAACGUGCCUAGUAGCAGGGGAUAACUACGCGAAAGCGCCAGCUAAUACCACCUUUCCGCGCCCUUCGGGGAAAGCAGGACGCUUUCGGGCCUCGCACUACCGACAGCGAUAUCGGAUUAGCUAGUUGGUGGGGUAACGGCUCACCAGGGCGACGAUCCGUAGCUGGUUUGAAGAGGACGACCAGCCACACUGGGACUGAGACACGGCCCAGGCUCUACAGGAGGCAGCGGUGGGGUACCUGGACUGUUGAAGCCUGAUCCAGCCAUCCCGCGUGUGCGAUGAAGGCCUUCGGGUUGUAAAGCCACUUUUGGCGGGAAAGAAACGGCACGGGAUAAUACCCCGUGCAACUGACAGUACCUGCAGAAUAAGCACCGGCUAACUACGUGCCAGCAACCCGCGGUAAUACGUAGGGUGCAAGCGUUAAUCCGGAAUUACUGGGCGCUAAAGCUUGCGCAGGCAGUUCCGGAAAGAAAGAUGUGAAAUCCCAGAGCUUAACUUUGGAACUGCAUUUUUAACUACCGAGCUAGAGUGUCAGAGGAGGUGGAAUUCCGCUGAUGUAGCCAGUGAAAUGCGUAGAUAUGCGGAGGAGCACACCGAUAGCGAAGGCAGCCUCCUGGGAUAACACUGACGCUCAUGCACAGCGUGGGGAGCAAACAGGAUUAGAUACCCUGGUGGUCCACGCCCUAAACGAUGUCCAACUAGCUGUUGGGGCCUUCGGGCCUUGGUAGCGCAACUAACGCGUGAGAUUGACCGCCUGGGGAAGUACAGUCACCGGAAGAUUCUGAAACUCGAGAAUUGACGGGGACCCGCACAAGCGGUGGAUGAUGUGGAUUAAUUCGAUGCAACGCGAAAAACCUUACUACGCCGGCAUGUGGAAUCCCGAAGAGAUUUUGGGGAGUGCUCGCAAGAGAACCGGAACACAGGUGCUGCAUGGCUGUCGUCAGCUCGUGUCGGCAAAGAUGUUAGGUUAAGUCCCGCAACAGGCGCAACCCUUGUCAUUAGAUUGCUACGAAGAGCACUCUAAUGGGGACUUACCGUUGAGCAAAGCCGGAGGAAGGUGGGGAUGACGUCAAAUUAUCAUGGCCCUUAUGGGUAGGGCUACACGUCGCCACAAUGGUCGGGACAGAGGGUCGCCAACCCGCGAGGGAGCCAAUCCCAGAAACCCGAUCAUAGUCGGAUCUUGAUCACAGCUCGACUGCGUGAAGUCGGAAUCGCUAGUAAUCGCGGAUCAGCAUGUCGCGGUGAAUACGUUCCCGGGUCUUGUACACACCGCCCGUCACACCAUAGGAUGGGUUUUGCAAGAAGUAGUUAGCCUAACCGUAAGGAGGGCGAUUACCACAGUAGGAUUCAUGACUGGGGUAAAGUCGUAACAAGGUAG
rnacentral:rRNA from 1 species